GUUUGAAGCCAAACUGCUUGCAGUUAGCCAGUCCUUCUUCCUCUAUGUGUGCACAAAGUUGGGGAAAAAUCACUGGGAGAUUUUACUGGAAAUCACUGAACGCAUCACUGAACAUAUCCAAGCCAGCCACACACAAGGGGCAGUAACAGAGUGCCUGAAUCUUCUCCAAAGCCUGUGGGAGUGGUGCAUGAGAACUGCYACUAAAGAGAAGAAGCCUUUGGUAAUGACCAUCCUCAAUCAUUUCUUCCAAAAGUUGCUUUACCACCCCCUGAGUGAAGUAAGACACUGCAUCGCACCACUGCUCUUUAGCAAGGAUGGCACAGGCAGGCAUGUUACCGAGCUGGGAAACAAAAUGAUCCCAGCUGAUCCCAGCCAUGUGGAGGCAGCUCUCCGAGAAUAUCUGAAGGUCACCUUCCCUGAUCUAGUCCUUAAGGGACAGCUGAAAGCAAAUGCCAGUAGCAUGGUUGUGCAAGGAGUCAUACCUGCAGGCAACGUGAAGAUCUGCAUAGCCAAACAACAGACCCUGAAUGACAUCUUGCAGGCGAAUGCCACUGACAGUGACUGUGAAAGGUUUCAAGAGGUGAUCAGAAUAGUGACUCUGUGUGCAGACAGGGAAUCCAUUGCCAAGCUGCAAAUGUCCAGUGCCUGUGGAGUGCCUCCUUGGUACAUGUUGGAAGACGGGAAUCCACUCUUGGCUUUCCUGCAGGAAAAGAGAAAUAAGCUCACCCUAUCCAAUAUGUUAGGCAUUUUAAAGGAUAUUGCCACAGCUGUCUGGUCCUGUCACCAGAAAAGGGUCUUACUUUGCGACGUCACACCAGCCAGCUUCAUCGUGUUCACAGGUGGGAGACAAGGAACGAGAGCUCUUCAGAUCCGGGCCAAGCUGUCUAAUUUCCUYCAGGCCAGGCUGGCCCCUCCAGAGGAUGAGAAAUAUUAUUCAGCUAGUGAUUGUCCUUAUGAAACCAUCAAAUCCUCACAGCUCACAGGGGACAGUGAGGAACCACUGUCCAUAUACUUCAGUGCUCCCGAGUCUCUGAAGUACCACAUUUUCUCUGCUUUUUCUGACGCAUGGGCCAUUGCUGCGACAUUUUACUCCAUUCUCCUGUAUGGUGGGCAGACAUAUUUUGAACUCAAGCACUUGUCUGUGUCCAGGUUCAUAGAAGAGAUCUGCAGUGGGCACAGAGCACAAAGACCAGACUCAAUUCCCCUGAAGCUGUGGGACAUGAUAGUCCCUAACUUGGAGCAUGAUGAGACAGAGCGCGCAUCCAUGGAGGCAUUGUUAGAGCACUUGGAAAACUACAGGAGUACCCUGGGGUCAGAUCUGGACAAGCUGCAUGAGAUAAUGAGUCAAUUCUCUCCCAUCUGCGAGGAAGAUAUUAUAAGGGGCUACCUUGACAGCAAAGGUAUGAACUAGUUUCCUCAAAGCAUGCAUGGGAAAUGUCUGUAGCAGGAAAACUUUCUUAACAGUACUUGCGUCUCAAGAGGAAAUCAACGUAUGUAAUAAUAGGAAGAUGUAGAAGGCUUUGCAAAAUAUGUGUACUAGAUAUGGGAG
rnacentral:lncRNA from 1 species